rnacentral:lncRNA from 1 species
AAGCAGCCCAAAUCGACCCCAAGAUUAUCUCAACCAUCCUGACUAACCAUCGAGCUGAGGGCAUUUUCACCACGUUUCUCCGUGGAUUUGACAUUUCCCAAUUCAAAUCUCGUGCCCAAAGCCUACCACACUUCCACUGCUCAAUGAGGCAUAUUUUUUCCAAGCUUUUCCAAUCCAAAUGGCAAACAAAUCUUGUCUCGACAAGUCAUAGAGUUGACGAGCGCCCUUACACAACAAACAACCUUGGUGAAUCAACUCUUGCAACGUACCGAGAUCCAACGUGCCCCAGACGAGGUGUCCCUAAGUAGGACAAGGGCAGACGAACCUCUCCAAUAGCGUCCCAGCAAGCAGCCACUUGACCAGUCAUGAACCGAGUGUUCUAACAUAGUACACUUUCGACUGGGCCCCCUAGAUAGCGUAUACUCCCGUCUUAGCGUAUGAAGGAACGUGCAUUCUCAGUUAGGCCCACAUACACUCACGGUUGGGGCCACACUUUGAUAAUCAACAUGAGCAACCUUCCAGGCGAAAUGUUCAUUCGCGGUAAGGCCCGCAAAGAGCAUCAUCCACCUUACAUCAGAGUAGGCUGCUUAGUGGACGGAGAGAAGCAGUCACUCAAUCCUGCUCAAGUUCAACCAAGAGCCUACGAGUUACCUGCUUACUUGCUAGGAACAUACCACACCCAUCACAACAGCGACAUAGACUAGCCGAACACAUGGAAAAGCAGCCUAGACCAGCAGGUCACGACCAGGGGUAGUCGAGAGCUCCGUCACCCCAACAAAGGCAAAUUCAGGAAGAAGAGAAAAGCUCAUGACCGAGCGAUUGCAUGAUUUCCUGAGUAACGAAGCUAUUGACAAAGCGUUCUGAUGAGACAUGACCAACAUAAGCGAGUCAUCUUUCAAUGACAAGAUCGAGCAGACGAGACUACCCUACAUAGAUUGCUGGAUACAAAGACUACUUCCAUUUUGACAAAUACAGCAGCUCAGUCUAAUGGUGCGUCAGGGGCAGACGAAUAUCAGAAGGACAUACCGGCCUAACUACCAAGAACCAGGGGUAGGCCUUGUUCUCAACACUUCAGACGAUUCAAUACUGAAACACCACAUCAUCAAUAGUUGAGCAUCACGAACCUAGUGGUCCAAUUCCUCAUGCUGCGCAUAACCUGGCCCAAGCCUUACUUUCACAGCCGUGCCUACUUACUCCAUGACUUCUGGCAGCCAUUGACCUAUCACCAUGGCUAAUAAAUGUGCCAAUCUUAUACCACGGCUCCCAGCCAUGCCCAUUUUGCCAUGUUACUUGUGCCAACUAAGCCUCAAAAGGGCACAUGACAAAACACCCAAUGAUGACACAAUAAUUCUAGAAGCAGCUCACUGCGCUUACAUCCUUACGCGGGGUCCACAAGCAAUUCGAAGUCUCAAGCAGAUCGCCAAACAUAACCUCGCAAGCUAAGGAUUAUUUCGAUUGUCCCAGCAAUCUAGUUUUCCUUAGCUGCACUCACGAUAAUGACUUCUAUGCUCUCCAGUGCGAGAGGAUAAACUAAUUGCUCUUCAGUCCAAGAGGGUAAACCAAUUUCCCGACACCCAUAUAAGUUUACUCUCCAGUGCGAGAAGAUAAACUAAUUGCUCUCCAGUGCGAGAGGGUAAACUAAUUGCUCUCUAGUGCGAGAGAGUAAACUAAUUGUUCUCCAAACUAAUUCCCCGACACCCAUCUGGGUAAGCUCUUUAGUGCGAUAAGGCCACAUUAAAAGAUCGAAUGCUUGAAGAUCAACUAGGCAGCAAAUGGUCAGGGGGCAGCAACCACUUUUGCACAUAACAGUUCGCUCAUCCGACAUUUCAUUUUCAGCAGCUCCGAUCUUGG